GACGAACCUUUGCGGCGUGCUUAACACAUGCAAGUCGAACGGAAAGGCCCUGCUUUUGUGGGGUGCUCGAGUGGCGAACGGGUGAGUAACACGUGAGUAACCUGCCCUUGACUUUGGGAUAACUUCAGGAAACUGGGGCUAAUACCGGAUAGGAGCUCCUGCUGCAUGGUGGGGGUUGGAAAGUUUCGGCGGUUGGGGAUGGACUCGCGGCUUAUCAGCUUGUUGGUGGGGUAGUGGCUUACCAAGGCUUUGACGGGUAGCCGGCCUGAGAGGGUGACCGGCCACAUUGGGACUGAGAUACGGCCCAGACUCCUACGGGAGGCAGCAGUGGGGAAUAUUGCACAAUGGGCGGAAGCCUGAUGCAGCAACGCCGCGUGCGGGAUGACGGCCUUCGGGUUGUAAACCGCUUUCGCCUGUGACGAAGCGUGAGUGACGGUAAUGGGUAAAGAAGCACCGGCUAACUACGUGCCAGCAGCCGCGGUGAUACGUAGGGUGCGAGCGUUGUCCGGAUUUAUUGGGCGUAAAGGGCUCGUAGGUGGUUGAUCGCGUCGGAAGUGUAAUCUUGGGGCUUAACCCUGAGCGUGCUUUCGAUACGGGUUGACUUGAGGAAGGUAGGGGAGAAUGGAAUUCCUGGUGGAGCGGUGGAAUGCGCAGAUAUCAGGAGGAACACCAGUGGCGAAGGCGGUUCUCUGGGCCUUUCCUGACGCUGAGGAGCGAGAGCGUGGGGAGCGAACAGGCUUAGAUACCCUGGUAGUCCACGCUGUAAACGGUGGGUACUAGGUGUGGGGUCCAUUCCACGGGUUCCGUGCCGUAGCUAACGCUUUAAGUACCCCGCCUGGGGAGUACGGCCGCAAGGCUAAAACUCAAAGGAAUUGACGGGGCCCCGCACAAGCGGCGGAGCAUGCGGAUUAAUUCGAUGCAACGCGUAGAACCUUACCUGGGUUUGACAUGGAUCGGGAGUGCUCAGAGAUGGGUGUGCCUCUUUUGGGGUCGGUUCACAGGUGGUGCAUGCCUGUCGUCAGCUCGUGUCGUGAGAUGUUGGGUUAAGUCCCGCAACGAGCGCAACCCUUGUUCACUGUUGCCAGCACGUUAUGGUGGGGACUCAGUGGAGACCGCCGGGGUCAACUCGGAGGAAGGUGGGGAUGACGUCAAGUCCUCAUGCCCCUUAUGUCCAGGGCUUCACGCAUGCUACAAUGGCUGGUACAGAGAGUGGCGAGCCUGUGAGGGUGAGCGAAUCUCGGAAAGCCGGUCUCAGUUCGGAUUGGGGUCUGCAACUCGACCUCAUGAAGUCGGAGUCGCUAGUAAUCGCAAAGCAGCAACGCUGCGGUGAAUACGUUCCCGGGGCU
rnacentral:rRNA from 1 species